UCAGCUAUGUGUAAUGUCCAGUUUGUCC
rnacentral:piRNA from 1 species